GACGAACGUUGGCGGCGCGCUUCAUGCAUGCAAGUCGAACGAGAACCUUCGAGUUCGUAAGAACUCGGGGGGGACAGGUGGCGAACGGGUGCGUAACACGUGAGGAACCUGCCCUGGAGACCGGGAUAGCCCGAGGAAACUCGGAUUAAUACCGGAUACCUUCCCGGAGCCGCAUGGCCCUGGGAAGAAAGGUCCGCCGCUCCAGGAUGGCCUCGCGGCCUAUCGGCUUGUUGGUGAGGUAACGGCUCACCAAGGCAGCGACGGGUAGCUGGUCUGAGAGGACGAUCAGCCACACUGGGACUGAGACACGGCCCAGACUCCUACGGGAGGCAGCAGCAGGGAAUAUUGCACAAUGGGCGAAAGCCUGAUGCAGCGACGCCGCGUGCGGGAUGAAGGCCUGCGGGUUGUAAAGCACUUUCAGUAGAGAAGAAAAGCUAGACGUUAAUACCGUCGAGUCUUGACGUAACCUACAGAAGAAGCACCGGCUAACUCCGUG
rnacentral:rRNA from 1 species